UGUACCACCUUGUCGGGUAGCUUAUCAGACUGAUGUUGACUGUUGAAUCUCAUGGCAACAGCAGUCGAUGGGCUGUCUGACAUUCUGGUAUC
rnacentral:miRNA from 3 species